rnacentral:pre_miRNA from 1 species
UCUUAUGAAUGAGCAAAGAAAAUGGAUUUUUGAGAUGAAAUUUGCUCUUGCUGAAGAUGCUGUGAA